rnacentral:rRNA from 1 species
UUUUGUGCCAUACCACCUUGUCAAUACCUGAUCUCAUCUAAUCUCAGGAGCUCAGCACGGACAGGCCGAGUUAGUAGUGAGAUGGGAGACUGCUGGGAAUACCGGAUGCCACAGAGG